rnacentral:miRNA from 1 species
UAACUACCGUGCUCCCUUGCGGUUCCCAUAAUUCCCAGCAUCUACACAUCAUAGAGUUAUCCCUACUCUAUGAUGUGUAGAUGCUGGGAAUUAUGGGAUCCGCAAAGAAGCAUGGUAGUUA